GAGCGGUGGCUGAGUGGCCGAAAGCGUCGGUUUGCUAAACCGAUGAAGGAGUACUCCUUCCGCAGGUUCGAAUCCUGUCUGCUCC
rnacentral:tRNA from 1 species